rnacentral:lncRNA from 1 species
AUGAUUUUAAAGUUUUAUUCAGAAGUCUGAAAUCGUUAUUAUUGUGAUUUUAUAUUUUGUCCUUAAACGAGUGCGAAUCAUGCUAAUUGAAAUACAUUUUCACUUUGGUUGACUUUCGAAAGGGAUUUUGACGCAGAUAACGUAUGAUUAAACAAGAAAGAAACGACGUUAAAAUAUAGUAAAUAUGCGGCACCCUUCUUGCACGAAACAAAAUCUAAGUACCCC